AAAAACGGCAUAACGCCAAACAUUUAAACGGCCAUAAAUACGCAAGCUUUGAAUUUGAAAUUUCGUUAAACGCUACGCUCCAAAAAAUUAUCACCGCCGCGCCAUGGCGGCGACUGCAUCAUCUCCGUGGGGGAAACCCGGCGCAUGGGCUGUUGACGCCGAAGAAAAUGAAGCGGAAGUCGAGCGACAACAAAGCGGCGCCGGUUCCUCAACCGAAAAGCUCGGGGAUUUCCCUUCCUUAGCCACCGCUGUCACCACCACCAAGGCGAAUAAAAAGAAGGGUCAAACCCUAUCUCUCUCCGAGUUUGCUUCUAAGCCCAGUGAGCCAACCCGACUCACUCGCGAGGAUCUCCUCGCACUCCCCACUGGCCCUCGACAACGUUCCGCUGAGGAACUCGAUCGCAACCGAUUAGGUGGUGGUUUUAAAUCUUAUGCUUCGAAUAGGUAUGGUUCGGAUGGCGAUGAUUCUUCGAGUAAUAGUAGAUGGGGAUUGAAUAAAGAUAGAGAAACUGCUCCCUCACGCGCCGAUGAGAUUGACGAUUGGGCUUCGGCUAAGAAAUCGACUUCCGCCGCAAACGGAUUUGGGGGUGGAUUUGAGAGAAGAGGGAGAGGAGGCGGCGGUGGUGGGUUUUCCAAUUCGCAAUCGAAAGCCGAUGAAGUAGAUAGCUGGGCAGCUAAUAAGAACUAUAAAAGCGCCGCAGAGGCACCGCCUCGGAGAUUUGGUGGGGGUUUCGAAAGAAGCAGUUUCGAUUCGACUCAAGCGAGAGAUUCGCCGAGGGAUUUGGAUAAUUGGGGAAAGAAAAAUGAUGAGAGUGUCAGUUCUGCUGGUAGUGGUGGGGUUAGACCAAAGCUUGUGCUUCAGCCACGUAAAGCUCCUCAAACUGAAAAGGGUAAGAAAGAUGCGACUCCGGCGGAUAAGCCCAAGGGGGCAAAUCCUUUUGGUGAGGCGAGGCCGCGAGAGGAGGUUUUGAAGGAAAAAGGGAAAGAUUGGAAGGAGAUUGAUGAGAAGAUGGAAGCUGCUAAGAUUAAAGAGACAUCAGCAGUUGCUGAGAAAGGAGGAAAGGGAAGUUUCGGGAACGAGCGUCUGCCGAUGGAAAGAAGCUGGAGGAAGAAUGAGUCUGUUGAGGCUGCUAAUCAACCCUAACGGUUUGUUCGAUUAGCUGAAAUUUGGUUGCUCGGUUAAUUCGAGAAUAUUGCUAUAUUCAUUGUUUGUUUAAGAUUAUCAUAGAAUGUGUAGGAGCAUGUUUUGUUCGAUGAGCUGAAAUUUGUUUGCUUGGUAAAUUCGAGAAUAUCAUUAUAUGUAUUGGUUGUUUAAGAUGAUGAUACAUUGUGUAGGAGCAUGCUUUCUUCAGUAUGAAUCUCGUUGGUUUGUAUAUGAACUGUUUAUAUGCUGCUUCUGAGUCUGCUGAGGCUGCUAAUCAACCCCAAAGGCUUGUUCGGUUAGCUGAAAUUCAAUUGCUCGGUUAAUUUGAGAAUAUCACUAUAUUUAUUGUUUGUUUAAGACGAUGAUACAUUGUGUAGGAGCAUGCUUUCUUCAGUAUGAAUCUCGUUGGUUUGUAUAUGAGCUGUUUAUAUGCUGCUUCCGAGUCUGUUGAGGCUGCUAAUCAACCCCAAAGGCUUGUUCCAUUAGCUGAAAUUUGAUUGCUCGGUUAAUUCAAGAAUAUCACUAUAUUUAUUGUUUGUCUAAGAUGAUGAUACAUAGUGUAGGAGCAUACUUUCUUCAGUAUGAAUCUCAUUGGUUUGUAUAUGAACUUUCUAUAUGCUGCUGCUGAGUCUGUGGAGGCUACUAAUCAACCCUAAAGGGCCAAGGAAACGAUAAACGGCCGUGUUCCUGACAAUUGAAGGUACGGACAGAAAAAGGCUUGUUUAGAUUUAAACUCAAGACUUGACAUCAAUAAAGAUGUAAAUAAUGCAAGUUAUUUGUCACUAUGCUACUCCAUCAGUGGUUAGUUGAUUUAAUUGUUCGAGUUGUUGAUCGAAUAAAUCUUUUUUUUUUUUUUUAUGUCCGUAUCAACAGAUAUGUAAAUAAUGCAAAGUUAUUUGUCAUUAUACUACUACAUCAAUAGUUGACAUAAUUGUUCGAA